CUGAACUGUCUCACACCCAUCAGGACAGGACAGGCAGCAUUCCAUUCCAUGUACCUGUAGGUUAGGUGAUACAAAAAGGAAGAUGUGGAUCACUAACAUAAAAAUUGAUUGGUCAAAAUGAGAAUGACAUGAUAAUGGGCCAAUGGGGAAAAGUAGGUGGGAGGUGGGUACACUCUAGACUGACAGCGAACCGAAUGACACAAACAUGAACGAGAUGCGGUGUAGACAAGAAUAACAUUUCUGUCUUCAGUGGCAAACAAAAAUCCACAAUCGAACUUGGAAAUGCCAAGCCUUCUGGAGCAACCUGAAAGUGUCGUGAUGGAUCACUUUCCUAAGAAGAGGCCCCUGUCUGAAGGGAGCGAUGUGAACUCUCCCAGCAACACAGACAGUUCUUCUGAUAGAUGCCCUCCUGAGGAGGACGUGCCUGCUACAUCAAACAUAUCCCAGAGUGAGGAGAACGAGAACCACCAAUGCUAAAAUUAAAGCAGGAAGCACCAGUGACUCGAUCUAUAAAAAAGUGGUCAGAUGAAGCAGAUGCUAAACUACAGGACUAUUUUGCUAGCACGGACUGGAAUAUGUUCCGGGAUUCUUCCGAUGGCAUUGAGGAAUACACCACAUCAGUCACCGGCUUUAUCAAUAAGUGCAUCGAGGACGUCGUCCCCACAGUGACUGUACGUACAUACCCUAACCAAAAGCCGAUGUAUGACCUUUAAACAGGUCAACAUUCACAAGGCCGCAGGGCCAGACGGAUUACCAGAAUGUGUACCGCGAGCAUGCGCUGACAAACUGGCAAGUGUCUUCACUGACAUUUUCAACCUCUCCCUGUCCGAGUCUGUAAUACCAACAUGUUUUAAGCAGACCACCAUAGUCCCUGUGCCCAAGAACACCAAGGUAACCUGCCUAAAAGACUACUGACCCGUAGCACUCAUGUCUGUAGCCAUGAAGUGCUUUAAAAGGCUGUUCAUUGCUCACGUCAACACCAUCAUCCCAGAAACCCUAGACCCACUCCAAUUUGCAUACCACCCCAACAGAUCCACAGAUGAUGCAACCUCCAUUGCACUCCCUUGCCCUUUCCCACCUGGAC
rnacentral:lncRNA from 1 species